rnacentral:rRNA from 1 species
AUGGAAGGAUCGUACGAGUGCGGUUGUCCAUCAGGGACACAUCGUGACAACGCAACUGGUGGAUGCAUCACUCCUGCCACAGGUAGCUGCAAUAGGUCCUGCGGAGACGUGCAGGUGCCGUACCCGUUUGGCUUUGGGCCAUCCUACUACUGGCCAGGCUUCAACCUCACCUGCGACUAUACAAUGAGCAACAACGAGCCCCCACGUCUUCUUCUCGAUGACUAUGGCGCCUUUCGAGUCGUCGACAUCUCCCUUCAAAACACCACGGUGCGCAUCGUUGGCACCGGUGCCCUUGUUAGUGUCACCACCAAACAUGAUGGCGGCUUCAGUUUUGAUGAAGUUUUCACGGCAAAUAGAGAGACACCGUACUCACUAUCCACCUGCAAUGAGCUCAUCCUAACAGGGUGCAAUGUGAAGGCAAAGCGGACCGCCGGGGAUGAUGCCAACCCGGGCAUCAUUAGCGGGUGCUCCUCAUUUUGCUCCUUCAACGACACAGGCGGCGCCACUAACGUGAGCACUGGAGGAGAAAACAAGUACUGCUACGGCAUGGGUUGUUGCCAGUCGCGUAUCUCCAUGUCGUCGCAUGGUAUGCCCAAAAUGCUGUGGCUCGAGUGGCUUGACGAGAGCAACACAUUGGACUUAAAAACCAUGUCCUCCUAUGCGCUGAUAGCGGAGGAGGGAUGGUUCAAUCUCACAAUGCUCUCGAGUGACUCGGCAAGGAAGGUGGUUCCUAUUGUUCUACAGUGGGAGAUCUUGGAUUCAGCAUUGCCCAAAGCAGAAAACUUGAAGAGAUCAAAUUGUACGAGUUGUCCUAUGGAAGUGGCAGGCAACAUCUGCAAGAGCAAGAACAGUUACUGCAAUCUAGGGACAAGAGGCUACUCAUGCCAGUGUAGCGAUGGCUACAGCGGUAACCCGCACAUGGUCGAUGGAUGCACAGGUGGCCGCAAGUCCUUUAAAGGUACAAGUGUCAUUGUAGGAGUUGCCAGUGGGAUGGCUCUCAUACUUAUGGUUUUCGCUGGAUUAUUCAUUUUCUCCAAAUUGAAAUGUCGAAGGGCGCAAAUGUUGAAACACAAGUUCUUCGAGCAGAAUCGUGGGCAACUACUGCAACAAUUGGUGCCUCAGAGAGCUGAUAUUGCAGAAAAAAUGAUCAUAACCUUGGAAGAGCUAGAGAAGGCAACAAAUAAUUUUGAUAAAUCUCGUGAGCUUGGUGGUGGAGGGCAUGGUACUGUCUAUAAGGGGAUUUUAUCAGACCUCCAUGUUGUCGCCAUCAAGAAACCAAAGAAGGUAGUUCAAAAGGAGAUUGAUGAGUUCAUUAAUGAGGUUGCUAUACUAUCACAGAUCAAUCACCGAAAUGUCGUAAAACUCUAUGGUUGUUGUCUUGAAACUGAAGUGCCGAUGUUGAUAUAUGAGUUCAUAUCCAACGGAACCCUUUAUGACCAUCUUCAUAUUGAAGGACCAAGAUCAUUGCCAUGGGAAAAUAGGCUGCGGAUAGCAGUUGAAACAGCCAGAUCUCUCGCAUAUCUUCACUCAACAGCUUCGGUACCUAUCAUCCAUAGAGACAUCAAGUCUGUUAAUAUACUAUUGGAUGAUACUCUAACAUAAAAGGUAGCAGAUUUUGGAGCUUCAAGGUAUAUUUCUGUAGAGAAAUCGGGUUUAACAACAAUGGUGCAAGGUACAGUUGGAUAUUUAGAUCCUAUGUACUUCUACACCGGGCGGCUUACCGAGAAAAGUGAUGUUUAUAGCUUUGGAGUCAUGCUAAUAGAGUUGUUGACAAGAAAGAAGCCAUUUUCAUGUGUCUUUAGAAGGAGAUGGCCUUGUUGUACACUUUGUUUCCUUGUUUGCAAAAGGCAAUCUGUUGGAGAUACUAGAUCCACAGGUUAUGGAAGAAGGAGGAAAGGUAGUUAA